rnacentral:rRNA from 1 species
AUUGAACGCUGGCGGAAUGCUUUACACAUGCAAGUCGAACGGCAGCAUGGGUGCUUGCACCUGGUGGCGAGUGGCGAACGGGUGAGCAAUACAUCGGAACGUACCCAGUCGUGGGGGAUAACGUAGCGAAAGUUACGCUAAUACCGCAUACGUCCUGAGGGAGAAAGCGGGGGACCGUAAGGCCUCGCGCGAUUGGAGCGGCCGAUGGCGGAUUAGCUAGUUGGUGGGGUAAAGGCCUACCAAGGCGACGAUCCGUAGCGGGUCUGAGAGGACGGCCCGCCACACUGGAACUGAGACACGGUCCAGACUCCUACGGGAGGCAGCAGUGGGGAAUUUUGGACAAUGGGCGAAAGCCUGAUCCAGCCAUUCCGCGUGAGUGAAGAAGGCCUUCGGGUUGUAAAGCUCUUUCGGCAGGGAAGAAACGGCUUGGGAUAAUACCCCGGGCUAAUGACGGUACCUGAGGAAGAAGCACCGGCUAACUACGUGCCAGCCGCCGCGGUAA